rnacentral:rRNA from 1 species
AUACGUAGGUGGCAAGUGUUGUCCGGAAUUAUUGGGCGUAAAGCGCGCGCAGGUGGUUCCUUAAGUCUGAUGUGAAAGCCCCCGGCUCAACCGGGGAGGGUCAUUGGAAACUGGGGAACUUGAGUGCAGAAGAGGAUAGUGGAAUUCCAAGUGUAGCGGUGAAAUGCGUAGAGAUUUGGAGGAACACCAGUGGCGAAGGCGACUGUCUGGUCUGUAACUGACACUGAGGCGCGAAAGCGUGGGGAGCAAACAGGAUUAGAUACCCUGGUAGUCCACGCCGUAAACGAUGAGUGCUAAGUGUUGGGGGGUUUCCGCCCCUCAGUGCUGCAGCUAACGCAUUAAGCACUCCGCCUGGGGAGUACGGUCGCAAGACUGAAACUCAAAGGAAUUGACGGGG